UUUUCUUCGGGUCUUGAACUGUGGUAAGUUGAUAAACCAAGCACAUGAUCUAAUGACAUUAAACAAAGUUUUAGUUUACAUCAAGUUUUUAAUUCCAUCCCUAAACACUUCCUAUCAUCUCCAUUUUUAUAUAUUAAAAUUUUCUUUUUUGGCGGAAUGAAAAACUUUUUUAAAACUUCACUGACGUUGUAAUAGCUUUGACUGAUAUUGGUUCACUUCGGUUAAAUUUUUU
rnacentral:lncRNA from 1 species